ACCGCACUCUGAACGCGCAGGCCAACUUGGCAUUUCUCUACUUUCAUUUGCUGAUUCCAGUUCCUCUUCAUGUUGUAGGUUUGGGCAUACAUUUUACAAUGUUCACAAUAGAACAGAUCUUAAGAAUAAGGAAUAGGCUGCAUGGCCCCUCACCUCUAUUCUCUUCUCAGAAGAUUGAAAAAGCCUCAUUAAUUUUCAAGCUGCAAGGUAGAAAGGUGCAGCACCUAAGCAACAGCAUCAGAAAGAGAAGAUGAAAAUGGUGGUCCUGGUGACUGAGGAAGGAGGUAGAAAAGGAUAUGUCGGCAAUAUUUUUUCCUGCUUGUGUGUUAUUAUUCAUUAACAUCAUUCUCUUCUUACCUUCCUUGAGCGUUACCUCAAUUUGUCCAGAGGGCCUUGAGCAGCGUGCUGGAAAGGCAAGGGCUGCCCUUCCAGCGCUGUUCACACAUUAAGCAAUGACUGAACCACCAGGACAGGUUCUGUGAAAAUUUCUCACUGUAGAAAGGAACUUGACAUUUAUAAUAUUCCUGCCAACACAUCUUCCACACACAUGCAGGGCAUGUCUUACAGCACUGCCAGCUCUGUAAGGUGACUGUGCUGGGUGUCUUGCUGAAAACAUGAGUAGACACUAAUGAAACCUGCUGGAGUGACCCGUGCUGGCCUAUGCUGUGUGGGUGUGGAUGUUAUGACAGAGAUAACUUUGCAACCUGUCAGAAGAAGAUAAAUGUUUCUGGUUUUACAUAUACACACACGCACACACAAAAAAAAAAAGCCACCACAGCAUGGGAGGGAGGAGGGUCCACUCCAAAGACAGAAUUUGUUCCCUCUGGUGCUGCUUGAAAGUGGGGUGCCCUGCAUCUGUGGGGACAUAAGGUUUACUCACUAUUUUCCUCUUUUAUAUUAUCUUAUUAAAACAGCUAUUUUAUUAAGCCUUUUCUUGUGCUGUUCUUACUGAGAUCCCAAAAGAACUCUUCUUUGUCACCUCCUGCAGCCAGGUGCAGAACAGCAACCAUUUAGGACAAUACUGGAAAAUAUUAGUCCAUGUAUGUUAUUCAUAGUUGACAGAAUAGAAUAGAACUCCCAGAGUUAAGGUAUCCUAUCAUUUCUGUAAUUACUUGGGAAUAAUGUAGAGAGUACUUUUAUGAAGGUGGUGUACUGAGAGAUUGCCUAGAGGGACAAAUUUUGCUAAAAAAUAGCUGACUUCUUGAAAAGUAUUUUACUGAUCCCAGUAACCCUGCUAUAAAAACAAGAAUCCCACAAAGUCAGACCAGGUACAGCAAAAGCACCGCAUAGUGAAAAAUCAAAAUUAACAAAAGUGCUGCCAAUUUCAGAGAAAUUUGACAAGAUUUCACCAUGUCAAAAAAAAAAAAAAAAAAAAGAAAAAAGAAAAAAGGUAUGAUGAUAUUCCAAGUUGAAAGCUUGAUGACAAAGAAAGAUCAAAAUAAAGACAAGAGUCUAAUGCUGUAUGUUAGUAAUGUUAAUAAUAUCAAAAUGAGCUUCAGCUCCAUCGUUUUACACUGUCAUUAAAGCUAUUUGGAUAUGCUGGGGGAAAAAAAAAAUAAAAGUGUUGAUACUGUUGCAGAAAUAACAGACUACAAAUUAGAUCAGGUCAGAACAGAUGUGGUUUAUUACUAUAGCUAUAGAAGGGAAAGAGCAGCUGCGUGACAGGCUGCUGUAGUGAACUCUGCCCAAAUGAGGCGAUUACAGAGUUCAUACGCCUUCGGGUUAUACAACACCUUCUUCACCAAAACUGUCAGAUAAGCAGGGUAUGGUAGAUAACAACACUGACUGAAAUCCCUCAGAUAAGAAGGCUCUAGAUAGUACAUCCUUUAACAAAUAAUCAACUCAUUUUAUGAAUAAUCUGCUCCUUUGCUAAUUAAAUUGUGCUGACUGCCAAAGCCACUAUCUGCAAAUGUUUCUUAACUACUUGGUGUUUCUUGACUAACCUUGUGAGUCCUGCAAAGGCCUGUGAGACGUUAAGUAUUUUGCAUUCACAAUACUGGAUUCUCUUUUCCUCCUUUCUGAAAGUAGCAAUAUCAGAGAAUAUAGCAUGGAAUUAUAUUAUCUAGAUACAUUAUAACAUCAACCUGGAACUCUGCAACAUCAUCAAAAAGUAAAUAGGAAACUUAGAACCAGAAUACUGGGUAAAAAUAUGUGUUAUUAUUGAAUCAAAGGUGCUGCUCAUCUUGUAGGAGGUCACAUGAGUUUAAUCACUUAUAAUGUAAAGAAAAUAUGUGUUUAUCUAGUAAAAUGUGAACACAGGAGGAUAUAACACAGUUUAUUGUGAAAUUAUUCCUUUCUGCUAUAACAACUAAACAUGAAAAUAUCUU